rnacentral:SRP_RNA from 1 species
AUUGGGCGUCGUGUCGUGUCCUGUAGUCCCAGCUAUUUGGGAGGCUGAGGUGGGAGGAUCGCUUGAGCCCAGGAGUCUGAGGCUGUAGUACACUGUGCCUAUCAGGUGUCCACACAAAAUUUAGCAUCAGUAUGUUUACCUUCCCCAGGUUGCCUUAGAAGAGGCAAGCUGGUGCAGGUCAGAAACAGAACAGGUCAAAACUACCUACACCCAUCAGGAGUGGGAUUGUGCCUGUGAAUAGCCACUUCACUCGAGCCUGAGCAACAUAGCAAGACCACGUCUCU